UGCAGUCGAACGAUGACGGAGGAGCUUGCUCCUCCUGAUUAGUGGCGAACGGGUGAGUAAUACGUGAGCAAUGUGCCCUUGACUCUGGGAUAAGCGCUGGAAACGGCGUCUAAUACCGGAUACGACGAUCGGAGGCAUCUCCUGGUCGUGGAAAGAACUUCGGUCAAGGAUCAGCUCACGGCCUAUCAGUUAGUUGGUGAGGUAAUGGCUCACCAAGACGACGACGGGUAGCCGGCCUGAGAGGGUGACCGGCCACACUGGGACUGAGACACGGCCCAGACUCCUACGGGAGGCAGCAGUGGGGAAUAUUGCACAAUGGGCGCAAGCCUGAUGCAGCAACGCCGCGUGAGGGACGAAGGCCUUCGGGUUGUAAACCUCUUUUAGCAGGGAAGAAGCGAAAGUGACGGUACCUGCAGAAAAAGCACCGGCUAACUACGUGCCAGCAGCCGCGGUAAUACGUAGGGUGCAAGCGUUGUCCGGAAUUAUUGGGCGUAAAGAGCUCGUAGGCGGUUUGUCACGUCUGCUGUGAAAACCCGAGGCUCAACCUCGGGCUUGCAGUGGGUACGGGCAGACUAGAGUGCGGUAGGGGAGAUUGGAAUUCCUGGUGUAGCGGUGGAAUGCGCAGAUAUCAGGAGGAACACCGAUGGCGAAGGCAGAUCUCUGGGCCGUAACUGACGCUG
rnacentral:rRNA from 1 species